GAUGAAGAACGUAGCGAAAUGCGAUAAGUAAUGUGAAUUGCAGAAUUCAGUGAAUCAUCGAAUCUUUGAACGCACCUUGCACCCUUUGGUAUUCCGAAGGGUAUGCUCGUUUGAGUGUCAUUGUACUCUCACACUUCUAAUUCCUUUCGGGAUUGGGAGCGGUGGACUUGGGUGUUGCUGCUUUAGUUGUGGCUCACCUCAAAUAAGUUAGUGCAACUCUUGGUUGGACAUAGUACGGCGUGAUAAGUGUCUUCGCCGGCGCCUCUGUAAGGAGGGUGGCCGAUCGGGAGCUCUGUGCUUCAAACCGUCUUCGGACAAUCUUUGACAACUUGACCUCAAAUCGAGUAGGACUACCCGCUGAACUUAAGCAUAUCAAUAAGGGAGGA
rnacentral:misc_RNA from 1 species